AGAGCGAACGCUGGCGGCAGGCUUAACACAUGCAAGUCGAACGCGUGUAGCAAUACACGAGUGGCGCACGGGUGAGUAACGCGUGGGCAUCUGCCUCAUGGUUCGGAAUAACCCCGGGAAACUGGGGCUAAUACCGGAUGGUACCUUCGGGUUAAAGAUUUAUCGCCAUGAGAUGAGCCCGCGUCCGAUUAGCUAGUUGGUGAGGUAACGGCUCACCAAGGCGACGAUCGGUAGCUGGUCUGAGAGGACGAUCAGCCACACUGGGACUGAGACACGGCCCAGACUCCUACGGGAGGCAGCAGUGGGGAAUAUUGGACAAUGGGGGCAACCCUGAUCCAGCCAUGCCGCGUGAGUGAUGAAGGCCUUCGGGUUGUAAAGCUCUUUUAGCGGGGACGAUGAUGACGGUACCCGCAGAAUAAGCCCGGCUAACUUCGCGCCAGCAGCCGC
rnacentral:rRNA from 1 species